UCCAACUCUUUCCAAUUUCGUAGUCUUGGCCACUAGUUAGCAACUCUAACACCUACAUAAAACCGAAAAGAAGAGAACACAAAUAAGAAAACUGAAGUGUGUGAUCUUCUUGAGACAUAUAUAAAUCUUAAGGUUUGCGUCCGGUUACAAUCUCGAGAAGAAGAACACCAAAUGCAUAAAUAUCAGUUUUCUCAUCCACAAUACCAUGCAUAAAGACUUCUGGUGCUAGAUAUCCAAAUGUUCCCUCCACUGGGAUUACAGCAUGAUGAGUCCACUUGUUAGGAAGCCACUUUGCAAGUCCAAAAUCAGUUAUCUAAUAUAUGCAGCAACAAAAAAUAAUUGUUAAACUUUGACUUGUGUGAAUUGAAUUUGGUAAAACAAGACAGUGUUAAUUGAAAUGGCUAUUCUAUAGUAUCUAUCUACCUGUGGUUCAUAAUCAGGACCAAGAAGAACAUUGGAGGCUUUAAUGUCGCGAUGAAUUAUUCGAUGUUUACAACAUGUAUGAAGAUAAUGAAGACCCCUUGCAACUCCAAUAGCUAUUUUGUAUCUUAUUGGCCAGUCAAGUGAGUUUUCUGCUUUACCUGAUAUAUUCAUUUCACUACAUUUAAAUCUCAUAUGACAUAACAAACGGUAACUACGUAGCACAAACACAAACACCAGGCACGACACCAUAUUGACACUGACACAUCGACACAAGUAAUUAUUUUAGCAAAUAGAAUUACUGAAUGCAUCAAGUAUUCAUAUGUAUCAGUGUCAUGUUCGUGUCAGACACCAGAGACCAGACACACUUUCAAUCUGAAGUGUUGCUGAUAGAUAGGGUAAUUCGUGAAAAAUGAUAGUUACAACGGGAGUUAGGUAUAAGGUUUACUCACCAUAACCAUGCAAUGCAGUUGACAAGUUUCCAUUUUGAGAGUAAUUGAAAAUCAGAUAAAGCCCAUUUUCAAUGCAAUAGCCCAACAAAGUUGCAGUAUUAGCAUGACAGACAUGUCCAAUAACACCUAACUCCAUAAGGAACUCUUUUUCCUUGUUUGGAUCAUUGUUGUCUUUGGCUAAUCUCUUCACAGCAAUGGUUUCUCCAUCACAAAGAACGCCUUUGUAUACUUCUGAGUACCCUCCUCUUCCAACCAAAUUAUCUGUUUUCAGAAAACAAAAAAUGAAUACUAUAAAGAACCUUAAUUCAAUGUUUCCUAUGACCUUAAAAUAUGACAACAUUAAUUAAUUUGGUGAACGCUCCGGUACACAUCUUAUUUGGAUAUGUAUGGGUACACCGCUGAUGGGUAUAAUUUUGAUAGGUUCACAAAUAGUGUUGAAUAAAGAAAAAUUAAUAAACAUUAUUUGGGAACCUAUCAGAAUCAUCCAUCGCAGCAGACAUACCAAUACAUAUCUAAAUAAAAUGUGUAUCGAAGAAUCCACUUGAUUAUAUACCUUGGUGAAAGUCAUCAGUAGCAUUUGAUAUGUUUUCAUAGCUGAAGCACUUCAACAAGGGUUGAUGUUUUUCAAUUUUGGACAUGUUAAAGCUUUUUAUUCUGAAUGGUGAACCAAGGAAUGAUAUUAUGAACCUGAAUGAGAAUUGUGAUUUUCUUAACUUUGAUUUUCUUUUAAUCUUGGGAUCAGAAGAAGGUGUAUAUGUCAUGCUUGAUGCUCUAGUGCUAAAUGUGUCAUCUUCUGUGCUGUUGUUGGAUUGUCCCUCUAGUCCAUCUAGCAGUACUGUUCUUGGUGAACUGUGUUGUGCAGUCAUUUCUGAGAUGAAAUCAAGGAGAAGAAAAUCAGCAGAAAUUGACUUGGCUUCCUCCACUAAACCACCACCUACUGUGGAAUUAAGUGCCACUUUUGCCUCCAAAUUCACCUGAAAAUGAUGUUUCCAUCAGCAAUCUUUGAUUCUAAUAGCAAGUAUAUUAAAGUCUAACAAUUACCUUUUUGAUCCCUACAGAGUACAAACUGUUCUUCAUUUUUAGUUUAAUCUUUACUAAAUUUUUCCAUUAACUUUAGUCCCUCUCAUAUUUCAUACUUCUAAAAUUAGUCCCUACUAAUCGUUUUAUGUACGCCAGC